CAGCUCAGGUCGGGCGCGGUGGCUCACGCCUGUAAUCCCAGCACUUUGGGAGGCUGAGGUGGGCGGAUCAUGAGGUCAGGAGUUCGAGACCAGCCUGGUCAACACGGUGAAACCCCAUCUCUACAAAAAAUACAAAAAUUAGCCAGAUGUGGUGGCGCGUGCCUGUAAUCCCAGCUACUUGGGCAGUUGAGGCAUGAUAAUUGCUUGAACCCAGGAGGAGGAGCUUGCCGUGAGCCGAGAUCGUGCCACUGCACUCCAGCCUGGAUGACAAAGUCCGACUCCAUCUCCAAAAACAAAACAAAAGAGACAACUCAAACUAAAGCCACUUUUGAGGAAUACCUCCUUGUUAACCAAGUACAACAUAGUUACCAUAAAAACUAUCUGGCUAGAUAAUAGAGAUACUCAACUUUUGUAUCCUACCUUUCUCAGUCAACAUCAAGAACAUCUUCAUGUUGGGACCCACUCUUCUACAUUAUUUUGCAUGGUUGAGACACCACACAGUCGCAGGACAUGAAGAAAAACAAAGGCAAAAUAAAACACCAUGUCAUACUUGUUGUCACAUCCUCUCUCCACGCAGCCCUUCUGAUCAUGCCCUGGUAUGUGCUUCUGAGACUAGAUAGGCCAGCGGUGGCUCAAACACCCUGAGACAGUCCGAACUCAGCUGUGCGCCCACCCCUCUGCCUCAGCCCUUAUUCUGCCAACUCAGGAAUAGCACAGACUGCUUUGACCAGACUUAACGCAGUCACCUUGGAACACAGUGUGAGGCGGAGGCCGCGGGACAGAGUGAAACCAUGUUCUAAAAUACAGCAGAUUUUUAAAGAACAGCCAGGCAGGGUCGAAGGCAGGGAGAGGGGCUGGUCAGGAAAUGCCAGUUUAAAGUUAGCUCUGACCUAUUAAUCAGCAGUGGGACAAUGAUGCAGUGGGGGGCGGGAAAGCUGGACAUGUGCUCGCGCCAGAUUUAUGGGCCCAGAACAAAGGAUGGCCUGCUCAUUCAGAGAGUCUCUUUCCCUUUUCCUCUGGCAAAAUGAGGACAUUGUUUGAUAAGCCAAAAAGAACAAAUAUUCCAAAGACUGAGGUCAUUUCCAGAGAUGCAACCAGUCCUGAUGGGGAUCCAUACACCCUGGGGCGAAGACGAAUCCUGCAGGGGGUUCUCGGACCAGCGCAGUGGGUGCAUGUCAUGAAAGAGAAACCACAGGCCCCUCUCCUGCGCUCUCGAAGAAGCUGGGGCCACCUGCCUGAGGCCACUCUGAAGGUCUCUGAACUGCUCAGCCGAGCCCCUUGGGAUAAGUCCAGAAGCUUUUCCAUGCAGACUGAACACAUAAUCCCUGCCUCCACCUAGGCUCUGCAGGCUUUUCUGGGAAGGUCUUCCUAAGCAUGGACUGCCUAGGAUACUGUUGAUUUCAGCUUCCUCUCCAUCCAGAAGAGAGUCUUGUUUCAACAGCUGGUCUCAUGUCAUCAGAUUAGGAGAGAAGGGGAAAGUGAUUAGGAAGGAAAGAAAAGAGAAAGUGCUCAGCCAGGCAGCUGGAUUACAAAAGAAGCCAACCUCGUGGAGAGGAGAUAUUGACUCUGCUUCUCAGAAUCUUUCAGAGUUUGGGAACUAUCUGUGACUUCCCAGCCCCUCCUUUCUUGGGGUUGCCACAUUUCACCAGGCGCUGGUUGCCUUGUACCUGGCUGGACCUUCCAGAGGAGUCACCUUGACUCCUGUUUUGCUUUCCUCCAACCCAAUAUCCACACAGCCCACAGCCAAUUGGGAUGAACUUUCUCUUUUUUUUUUUUUUUUUUGAGACGGAGUCUCGCACUGGAGUGCAGUGGCGCAAUCUUGGCUCAGUGCAGCCUCCGCCUCCCAGGUUCAGGUGAUUCUCCUGCCUCAGCCUCCCAAAUAGCUGGGAUUACAGGCACCUGCCACCACUCCUGGCUAAUUUUUUGUAUUUUUAGUAGAGACGGGAUUUCACUAUGUUGGCCAGGCUGGUCUUGAACUCCUGACCAUGUGGUCCGCCCGCCUCUGCCUCCCAAAUUGCUGGGAUUACAGGCGUGAACCACCACACCCAGCCCUUGGGAUGAACUUUCUAAUCUAGAUAUCUAACCAUCUCCCUCCUGGCUAAAAAACAUUUAAUUGCUCUCUAAUGUCUUCAGAAAAGAUGUGCAGAAACCUCAGCCUGACAACAGGUCCUUCAUGUUGUGGCCACAUCUGUCUUUCCAGCUCGUGUGCCAUCUCUUCCCAGCCCUCUCUGCAGCCUUUAGACCCAUAGAAUUAUUUUCUCCUCCGUAAACAUGACGUGUCCCUCCUGGAAAAAUUCUGGCCGUUCUUUAAGACCUAAGUUCCAAUGUUAUGUCCUCUGUGGGAAUGACCUACUGUACGUUGCUAACCAACUCACACACUGGGUGUGUUCUCCACUUCUUUGCCUGGGGUCCGAUGCAUGUGUUCACUCUGCUAAUAAUAAUAAUAAUAAUAGCAUAGCACUUAUCAUAGGGCCUACACUAGUUAAUUGAGGGGUCAGUUGAAGGCAUGAAUUCAUUGAAUGACUGCCUGAAUGAAUGAAUGAUGAUCUAUUAGACAUGGUUAGCCCUAAGGCAUGUGAAGGCCUAUGCAAAUGUUUUCUGUGGGGUCCCUGUAUAUAUAAAUAAUUUGAGUUACCUAAAAUCAAUCUUUAAGCAGCAUUCUGAUCACCCAACUUCAUGUGAUACUGCAAAAGAAAUACUCUCUGGCUGGAAGUAAAGAUCCUUUCUCCCAGUAGCCCUUUUGGAAUUGGGCCUGGUCAGGGGUCCCUGAGACAAUCUCAUAGGUGUAAACCUUAGAGGUCUCCUAGGGCAUCUGGUCGACCCCCUGUACUAAGAAGCGAAUUGAAGAGCAUUCCAAAGGAGAGAAAACAGGGACAGGGGCUGACAUGGUGGAGGUUGGGCCUAGAGCACCCUGUCUGGUUGGCACUGCUGGCCUUGGCCAGUCUUGGUCACUGGAAGGGCUUAGAAGAUGUUAAGGACAGCAUUCUACAGUACAAGACCCCUUCAAGACCAGCCUGGUCAACAUGAUGAAACCCUGUAUCUACCAAAAUUACAAAAACUAGCCAGGUAUGGUGGCACACGCCUGUAAUCCCAGCUACAUGGGAGGCUGAGGCACAAGAGUCACUCAAACCUAGGAGGCAGAAGUUGCAGUGAGCCGAGAUCGUGCCACUGCACUCCAGCCUGGGUGACAAAGCAAGACUCUGUCUCAAGAAAAAAAAUUAAAUAAAUAAAUAAAGUGCAAGACACCUGAGGCCCAGGACCUAAGGCAGGUGCUCCGCUUGCCUGGGUGGUACUGCUCCCAGAUAACCAUGUGAUUAUAUACUUCAUCAUUCAACAAACAUUUACUGAGCUCCUACUAUGGACUAGGUACUGUAUUAGAAGCUGAAGUCACAUAUUCAUAGUUAUUUAUUACUAUGAGUUAACAUGUUAUCUCUGCCAAGCAGUGAACUUAAUAAUAACACAAUGAGACCUGCACAGUACAGGAGCGUAGUUAUCAUCUGGCCCAUUAGGAAACUGAGCCAGAGAGGGGCUGUCAUACAUUCCAUGAGCAUCUACCACAUGCCUACUCCUGGGUGUGGUUAGAAACGCAGCAAAGAGGUUUCUGAAAGAAAGCAAAAGACAAUCCAUUGAUUUCACUUCCAAAAAUAAACCAAAUCGUGAGGAGAGAAAGAAUAAUGACUUAAAGCCUAUUCCGAGGUUCAACAGAUGAUGGAAAUAAUGACUAAAAUCAUCCAAAUGACUUUAUACUGGGCUUUCAGUGAUGGCAGCAGCAAAGCCGGCUGCUCAAGCCUGUCAGAGUAGAGCUGUGGAGACAUGCAGCCACACAAGGGCCAGAAAGGACAAUGGCUUCAACUUCUCUCCCUGAGCCUCUAUUUCCCCAUCUGUAGACCAGCCCUUCGCAUGUUGAUCAGGACACCCAUGUGUUGUUGUGAGAUUACAAUGAUACUAAAGAUCAUGAACAACCUGUAUGCACUUAAAGCGCCUGCCCUGGGUUGCUCAGUAAUAACGAAGAGGAUGAAGGGUUAGUGUGUGGCUUUCUCUCCUAACCAAAAAAAAAAAAAAAAAAAGGGAUGGGUUUCCGCCAUGUGGUUUUUUAUGAAAGGAGAGGAAAGCAAGAGAAGAAAUACAUCUCUCCUCAGACUAACUCUGAAGCUUUCUAGGGUUAACACCCCACCAGCCUUCUCGAUUUUACCCUGUGCUCACUGUGCACUUGUAUAGACAUAUGCACACACACAAACACAAAUCCCCCCACAGCCUGACCCCUGAUCAUCCCAACCUCUAAGUCAUGAUUCUCAACCCAGUGCAAUUUUGUCCCCCACAAAACAUUUGGCAGCGUCUGGAGACAUUUUAGGUUGUCACACCUAAGGGGCAGAGAGGGCGGCUUGUUACUGGCAUUAGUAGGUAGAGGCCAGGGAUACCACUAAACAUCCUAUAAUGUCCAGGACAGUCCUUACAACAAUGAAUUAUUCAGCCAAAACACUCAAUAGUGCCGAGGUUGGAAAACUCCACUGUAAGCCUUUGUUUAUGCUGUUCCUUCUAUGAAAAGUGUUCUCUUCAUUGCUCUUCUUAUUUAAAUCCGGCCGGGUGCGAUGGCUCAUACCUGUAAUCCUAGCACUUUGGGAGGCUGAGGUGGGUGGAUCACCUCAGGUCAGGAGUUCGAGACCAGCAUGACCAACAUGGUGAAACCCCGUCUCUACUAAAAAUACAAAAAAAAAUUAGCCAGGUGUGGUGGCGGGCACCUGCAGUCCCAGCUACUCAGGAGACUGAGGCAGGAGACUUGCUUGAACCCAGGAGGCGGAGGUUGCAGUGAGAGUGAGCUGAGAUCAUGCCACUAUACUCCAGCCUAGGCAGCAAGAGCAAAACUCCAUCUCAAAAAAAAAAAAAAAAAAAAAAAAGAAAAAAAAUUCUACCCCUCCAGAGAAAGGAAAUACACCCUCACAUGCUGCUGGAGUAUAUAUAAGCCAAUAUAACCUUUUUGAUAAUUUGGCCAGAGUUAACAGAAUUAUAAACAUCCAUACCCUUGGAACAAGUCAUUUCAUUGCUCACACAAAGUCCUAUGCACAAGGAUGUUUAUUGCAGCACUGUUUGUCAUAAGAAAAGACUAAACACAACCUAACUCAUCCCUUUAGGAGGGGUCAGUAGCUUUAAAUUAUAAAGCUUGUAUACAAAACAAUUAUCUGCAAGCCUUUAAAAGGAGUGAGGUCAUUUCAAAGGGGUCAAUAGGGAAAAAUCGCUGAGAUACACUGUUGAACAAAAAUAGCAAGGUACAGGACAGCCUUAUUAAUAUGUACCAUUUGGUGAAUGAGUAAAAGGAAUAUUCAUACAUAUAUUUUUAUAAAUAUAUAUCUAGAAAAUAUCUAUAAGCCUGUAUAAAAAAAGUGUUAAUAGUGGUUGCCUUUGGGGAGAACUUGGUCAUGACAAUUAGAAGAUUUAGUUGUAAUUUUAUUAUCCUUCAGACUCUUUGAAUUUUUUAAACCAUAUUCAUGCAUUUCUUUUUGAUUGAGGAAAAAAGAUUUCAUUAAAAAACGUUUGUGCUUGCUCCAGCAGCACAUUUAUUAAAAUGAGAACAAUACAGAGAAGAUUAGCAUGGCCCCUUUGUAAGGAUGACAUGCAAAUUUGUGAAGCGUCCCAUAUUUUGGGGGCUUAAUUCCUGGGUGAUGAAGUAAUCUGUAAGACAAACCCCCAUGACAUGAGUUUACCUACAUUAACUAACUUUCAAAUGUACCCCCAAACCUAAAAUAAAACUAAAACAAAAAUAGGAAUAUAUCUUUAUCAUCUUGGAUUAGGUAAGGAUUUCUUUAAUAGUACACAAAAAGAACUAACCCUUAAAAAAUCGACAUACUGGUUUUUGUUAAAAUUGAGAACUUCUUCCAUAGAAAGAGACCAUGAACAGUAAAUGGUUGACCCACAUACUCGGAGAAGAGAUUCACAGUCCAUAAAUCCAACAAAGGUCUUGCAUUCAUAAUAUAUAAAAAUAGUCAAUAUAAUUUUUGAAAGUGAGCAAAAGACUUGAACAGACACUUUACAAAAAGGAUAUUCAAAUGGCUAACAAUCAUAUGGAAUGAUGCUCAAAAUCAUUAGUCACCAAGAAAAUGCAAAAUAAAACCAUGAUAGAAUAUCUCUCCUCUCCUGCCAGAAUAGCUAAAAUUAAAAAGGCUAAAAGUACCCUCUAUAUUCAUUUCUCAUACAUUGCUGGUAGAAAAAUAAAAAGGUACAACUACUUUGAAAGUUCUUUGACAGCAUCUACAAAAGCUGAACCUUCCAACCUUACCUCUAUAAACCUUCCCUGAUUUACACAGGUUUUCCUUCUGAUAACCCCUCUAAUCUAUGUAUGUGUUUGCUACCGUUUAAAAUCUGCUGUAAAUUCCCAAACUUUCAUUGUUCUAUUUAACUGGGAUUUGCUGAGCACUUACUCUAAAUCAGACACUUGGGAAUCUUACUGGGAUUAAAGAGAGGACCUAUUUUAUAGAUCCUUUCCUGCGGAAGCUCGUAGACCAGAUGGAGUUGAAGAUAUACAUACAAAAUAAGAGAUAGGCUGGGCACGGUGGCUCACGCCUGUAAUCCCAACACUUCGGGAGACCGAGGCAUGUGGAUCACCUGAGGUCAGGAGUUCAAGACCAGACUGGCCAACAUGGUGAAACCCUGUCUCUACUAAGAACACAGAAAUUAUCUGGGUUUGGUGGCGGGUGCCUGUAAUCCCAGCUACUCAGGAGGCUGAGGCAGGAGAAUCACUUGAACCUGGGAGCGAGGGGUUUCAGUGAGCCAAGAUCGCACCACUGCACUCCAGCCUGGGCGACAGAGCAACACUCCGUCUCAAAAAAAUCAAAAAAAAAAACAACAAAACACUAAGAGACAAACACCUCUUUAAACUAACCUUCUCUUCCAAACUAACUUCUACUUUUCGAUCCCUGUGGCACACUUCUUUCAUAUUCUCACAGUGCCUGAAUCUACAAUGACCCAAAGUAGAAACUGAGUAAAACUCUGUUGAACCAAUCCAGUUGAUGUAUAUUCACAGAUAGCAAGAAAGAUUUGGGCUAGGUGAAAAGAAUAGAUUUUGGUCACUGACAGCUUCAGUAAGGCUUAUUUAAAACCUAGCCCCACACUGACCAAAAUUUUGUAUCUAUUAGCUAAUUCCAUUCUCACAGCAACCUGUGGAGCAGGUGCUAUUAUCGCCAUUUGGCAGAUGAGAAGCUUGAGGUCAAGACAGAUUAUGUUAUUUGAAGACAGAUUAUGUUAUUUGCCAAGGUCAUAUGCUCAGGAACUAGCAAGGCUGGGAACCAAACUCCAGCCAAACUCUCAUUUUAAAUUUUGGUUCUUGCUACUACAUCACAUGCAUCAGAAACAGCCUAAUACCACUCCAGAGAGGCGUGAAUCUAAAUUUCUCUCUGGCUUUGGAUUUUUACAGGUGUUUUUAUUCCCCUGAAAUACUUGUGCAGCCCCAUAUUUUAUUCUCUUCUCCUGUCCUCCCUUCUCAUGGGCAGCACCUCUUCCUCCUUCUUUAAAUCUCUG
rnacentral:lncRNA from 1 species